rnacentral:rRNA from 1 species
UAUGUGAUCGUCUCUCGCAUAUCAAUAAGCGGAGGAAAAGAAACUAACAAGGAUUCCCCUAGUAACGGCGAGUGAAGCGGGAAGAGCUCAAAUUUGAAAUCUUAAAGGGUUUCCCUUUACGAAUUGUAGUUUAAAGAAGUGUUUUCUGUUGAGGUUUUGGUAAAAGUUCUUUGGAAUAGGACAUCAUAGAGGGUGAGAAUCCCGUAUUUGACCUUUACUUUCAACUUUGUGAUACACUUUCAAAGAGUCGGAUUGUUUGGGAAUGCAGUCCAAAAUGGGUGGUAAAUUUCAUCUAAAGCUAAAUAUUGGCGAGAGACCGAUAGCGAACAAGUACCGUGAGGGAAAGAUGAAAAGAACUUUGAAAAGAGAGUUAAACAGGUACGUGAAAUCGUCAAAAGGGAAGCGUUUGACACCAGUGUUGUUUUUCUGAAAAUCAAUUAAAGAACUGUUUAUGCUAAGCUGUUUAGACUUUAUCAGCUAACUGUUUAGUUUUGAGCUUUUCUUUAAUGCACUUUUCAGUUAACAAGUCAACAUCAAUUUCUUUUGCUGUAAAAAAGCUUGAGGAAGGUGGCUUGAGAUUCGUCUUAAGUGUUUAUAGCCUCUUGCCUAUGCAGUCGGAGAGAUUAAGGUCUGCAGCGUAGAUCCUUCGGGGCUAAAUGCAUUUGUGCUAAGUUAUAACAUUUUAUAGACAACUUGUUGACUAUGAUUUGUCUUGUAGCUUACUCGCUUAUGUUAUUUUACCUACGCUUAGGAUGUUGAGUAGCGACAUACGCAC